rnacentral:rRNA from 1 species
AGUGAACGCUGGCGGUAGGCCUAACACAUGCAAGUCGAACGGCAGCACAGUAAGAGCUUGCUCUUACGGGUGGCGAGUGGCGGACGGGUGAGGAAUACAUCGGAAUCUACUUUUUCGUGGGGGAUAACGUAGGGAAACUUACGCUAAUACCGCAUACGACCUACGGGUGAAAGCAGGGGAUCUUCGGACCUUGCGCGAUUGAAUGAGCCGAUGUCGGAUUAGCUAGUUGGCGGGGUAAAGGCCCACCAAGGCGACGAUCCGUAGCUGGUCUGAGAGGAUGAUCAGCUACACUGGAACUGAGACACGGUCCAGACUCCUACAGGAGGCAGCAGUGGGGAAUAUUGGACAAUGGGCGCAAGCCUGAUCCAGCCCUACCGCGUGGGUGAAGAAGGCCUUCGGGUUGUAGAGCCCUUUUGUUGGGAAAGAAAAGCAGCAGGUUAAUACCCCGCUGUUCUGACGGUACCCAAAGAAUAAGCACCGGCUAACUUCGUG